rnacentral:tRNA from 1 species
GGGCGCGUGGCCAAGUGGUUUAAGGCGUGGGCCUGCAAAGCCUAUAUUCGUCGGUUCGAAUCCGACCGCGCCCU